AUCANCUUUCGAUGGUAGGAUAGAGGCCUACCAUGGUGGUAACGGGUAACGGGGUGUUAGGGCACGACACCGGAGAGGGAGCCUGAGAAACGGCUACCACAUCCAAGGAUGGCAGCAGGCGCGCAAAUUACCCAAUCCCGACACGGGGAGGUAGUGACAAUAAAUAACAAUACGGGGUUCUUUCGGAUCUCGUAAUUGGAAUGAGUACAAUUUAAAUCUCUUAACGAGGAACAAUUGGAGGGCAAGUCUGGUGCCAGCAGCCGCGGUAAUUCCAGCUCCAAUAGCGUAUAUUAAAGUUGUUGCAGUUAAAAAGCUCGUAGUUGAAUUUCGGGAUUAAUUUAUUGGUCGUGCAAUAGUACGUACUGGUAUUAUUGAUUCCUACCUUCUGACGAACCAUGAUGUCAUUAAUUUGGUGUCAUGGGGAAUCAGGACUGUUACUUUGAAAAAAUUAGAGUGUUUAAAGCAGGCUCACGCUUGAAUACAUUAGCAUGGAAUAACGAAAUAGGACGUUUGAUUCUAUUUUGUUGGUUUCUAGGAUCGACGUAAUGAUAAUAGGGAUAGUUGGGGGCACUAGUAUUCAAUUGUCAGAGGUG
rnacentral:rRNA from 1 species